GAAUUCAUUUUUCAGGACUCUCUUCUCUAAGUUCUCUAAGCCACCACCACCCAGAACAACACUUCACGGCCUGAAAAAUGCGUACGGUACUCUUGAUGCGGUGGUCGGCACCACGAAGGCGGCGUAUGUGGUGGGUAGACUCGGCCCAACUGCUGCGGCUACGGCUGCCUGGAAGUCCUUUACAUACGACAUGGAUCUGUCUAGCCUCCAAGGAAGAGUGGAUAUGCUGGAGUCGUCUCUGAAGGACCAUUCCAUCAAACUUGAAGAGCUGACAAGUGAAAGAGCUCAAGAUGCUCUGAAAGCGCAAGCGGUGAUGGAGGCAGUGGUUCGUAACUGUAAAGCGCUUGAGGAGGAUCUACUGCAAUGCAAGAAGCAGAUGGCCGAGAUGGAGAAGAAAACCACCAGAAAUUGAUUAUUUAGGGUUUCUCUUUAGGGUUUAUACUGACUGAUGAGGAAGAUACUUUUUGUGUUAUGCUCUGGACUAUCUUUUUUAAUGAAGUAGCCACCUAUAUUUUGAACUAUUCUGAUGUUUGAUUCAUCAGUUUUAUCAGUUUUAUGGGUUUGAAUCAUCAGUAUUAUCAGUUUUAUCAGUUUUAUUCAUCUGCAAAUGUUAGAUCACAACGUUCGGAGCAACGUUGUGCAAUUUUGUGCAUUUUUGUGCAGGAAAUUGCAGAUCGGAGUAACGUUCGGAGCUUCUGGGCUGCUACACCCGCGGCGACAAAUUACCAGAGAAGUUAUUCACCGAGCCCAGCAGUCAGCGGCGAGGUCAUGAACAGGAGUGGUUUCCAAAAAGGGUCCGUGCUGGUCGGAGCUAAAGUUCACUGGGAUGGCGACGUGGGGUAA